CGGCCCAGACUCCUACGGGAGGCAGCAGUGGGGAAUAUUGCACAAUGGGCGGAAGCCUGAUGCAGCGACGCCGCGUGAGGGAUGACGGCCGUCGGGUUGUAAACCUCUUUCAGUAGGGAAGAAGCGAGAGUGACGGUACCUGCAGAAGAAGCGCCGGCUAACUACGUGCCAGCAGCCGCGGUAA
rnacentral:rRNA from 1 species